UGUGCGUGUUGCAUUUCGAUCCUCCGGUGGCUUCUCCUUGGGAGGUGUCGGCGGAGCUUUCGGUGUAGCUCGUCUUGCGAUGGGACGACGCGUGAGUGGUGAUUAGGAUAUGUAUCCCGUGCAGGCUCCGUGUGUCUGGCAUCGAACUGCGUGGGUCUAUCUGUUUCAUAGGUGGUUUCGCCUCGGCGUUUUCAUGGCCGGUUGCGACCGCUCGUUUGGUUCCUGUGCUCGAUAUCGAAUUCGGUAGUUGGAUGGAUUGUUGUUCCUCGUCACGGUUUACUGAUCCCCCCGCCUCGUGCGGCGGCGGCGGAUAUUGUGCGGGCAUCGACGUUUCCCUUUCUAGCCGUUGUACCCCGUUUGGAGCUUCGGCUUGUGAUGGCACGUAAGAUGCUACCGACACCCUCGGGUACGGAGAUUUUUUGGC
rnacentral:misc_RNA from 1 species